CGGAUGGAGCGAGCGUUAUUCAACAUGACUGGGCGUAAAGAGUGUGUAGGUGGCUUCUGUGUUGAAUUUUAGUUAACAACUCAACUGUUAACGUUUUUGUAAACUAUGAAGACUAGAGAAUAAAUAAGGAAGCAGUAUUUUUAUUGUAAGGAUAAAAUCUAAAGAUAAUGAAAAGACUAUCGAAGGCGAAGGCAGCUUUCUGGUUUAUAUCUGACACUGUAGCACGGAAGCAUAGGGAGCAAACAGGAUU
rnacentral:rRNA from 1 species